GAUGAACGCUGGCGGCGUGCCUAAUACAUGCAAGUCGAGCGAACAGACGAGGAGCUUGCUCCUCUGACGUUAGCGGCGGACGGGUGAGUAACACGUGGAUAACCUACCUAUAAGACUGGGAUAACUUCGGGAAACCGGAGCUAAUACCGGAUAAUAUAUUGAACCGCAUGGUUCAAUAGUGAAAGACGGUUUUGCUGUCACUUAUAGAUGGAUCCGCGCCGCAUUAGCUAGUUGGUAAGGUAACGGCUUACCAAGGCAACGAUGCGUAGCCGACCUGAGAGGGUGAUCGGCCACACUGGAACUGAGACACGGUCCAGACUCCUACGGGAGGCAGCAGUAGGGAAUCUUCCGCAAAGGGCGAAAGCCUGACGGAGCAACGCCGCGUGAGUGAUGAAGGUCUUCGGAUCGUAAAACUCUGCUAUUAGGGAAGAACAAAUGUGUAAGUAACUAUGCACGUCUUGACGGUACCUAAUCAGAAAGCCACGGCUAACUACGUG
rnacentral:rRNA from 1 species